UGAUUUAAUAAGUGGUAGCAUACGUUAGUAAAAUGUUAAAAAAUGUUUGAAACUUUUUUUUUGUUACAUCACAAUUAUAUAGAGAAAUACACGCAUGCACAGCAUUUAACGGUGUGUAUUUUUGGUCAACACUAAUAGUGUAACAGUUACUAAGCCAACCCUUAUAUAUAUCUAUGAGGCAAUCGCAGAAAUUGUGAAUCAACAAAUUUUAUAUUUGAAGGAAUUGCAGGAUGGUGUUAUCAUGCGUUGCAUGGGGCUGCACCAAUAGAAAAACCAAGGAUUGUGCACUAAGUUUCCACAGGUCUGCUUAUAGUUGUUGUUGUAACGGUUGACUGUGCUCUGGUUCAGAUUUAAUGAUAUAAAGAUACCCGAAUUUAACUGUAAUGAAUAAAGAUUGAAUAUUCAACAAGGCUGUAUAGCGAAAAGAAAUGUAUGGCUGUAAUGGAAUGUACUUUCCCUUCAUUCCAAUCGUGAUCAUAAACAAUUACCAGUCUUGUGUAUGCCAGUUGAAGCAAUUAACCCAUGCCAUAAGGUGUUUAUUAUUUUGUGACACAUGUUUUCCGUUAUAUAAACCUUGCACUUUUUUGUAUUGGGAGGCAGUACGGACGAAGAAGUUCCUGUGCUGUUUUCACUUUUGUCUCAAGCUUCGUACAAUAAACUGAGCUAUCUUACAAUGCAAUACAACGUCUUACAAUCAU